UCAUACUCAGAAGUAUGAAGAGAAUGAAGCUAGAGGAAGUAGUGGUUGGUGAGUCAGCAUGAGUAAUUUUGUUCCAAUGAGAAUGAAGAUUGAGGGUUUUUUUUCCCUCUUAAACAUUUUGGACAUCAUUGCUUAAUGGAGGGAAAUAAGAGAUAUUAUGUCUGUGUAGCUAGUACUUCUUGAUUUUUAAAUCAAAAGAAAAUAUAUUUAGAAUCUAGAUAUGUGUCUUCAUAGGCACCCUCCUCGUAGGAAAGUGAGGGGGAAAACAGCUCCUGCUUGUCCAGAUGAGAGAAAGCCACAUUGCAUUCUAUUGCAUCAGACAAUGCAAGUCGUGGGCUCACCAGCACAAUGAUUACUGUCCAGACACAGCUGAGAUCCAGAAGAGGCCCUUCUACACUCCAGCAGGAGCCUGGGAUUUCGAAUCGUCAUGGGCUGGUCAAAGAAGAAGAAUUUGUGUGACGAACUUAGGGUGGACAUCCUGGAGACGGCCAGCCAGCAGGUGCAGUAGCAAAGGGGAAAGGAGUCUCAGCAAGUGGAAAGGCAGGAGAGCACUGGGGCAGAGCUGCAGUGUGGAAGGAGAGACUGCCUCUGGAGCAGGACUGCAGCAAAAAGACGUUCUUCAGGGGCUGCUUGCACUAAUGGCCACAAGGCUUCUGCCCCAUGUUCCGAGUGCCCUCCAGAGUGCCAUGUCUUGUGGGCCAGGAAUGCGUUGAACAAUACCAUGGUCCAAUGACCCGUGCUGCCUGGACAGGGUAAAUGUACUCCUGGCAGUCCUCACCCCCUUGCAGCCCUCCAUGCACCUUCACCAGCUCCACGCAGGUGGUAGAAAUGAGGAGGAGAAAGGGGGCUCUGGGCCAUGCAAAAGCCACCCAUAAGGACAAGAUUACAUAAAGCCACAGGCAUCAUUUGUGCUGCAACAAUGGAGUCUCAGCUAUGGGAGAGACCUUGGGCCUCUGUAGACAGGCUGAGGUGAUGCAUUCAGGUUCAUUUGGUUAGUGGUGGCAGAAAACUUUUAGAUGUAGGGAUCACCCAACACUCCCUGCCAGAGGAAUUAAUGGUUUUAAAAGCCAGAAUGUGGAAAGACUUAAAAAGGAAAAUAAAAGCAUCAGGAAAUGAGGAAGCAGGCACACAAGAGGAAAUAGGGCCGCGGUAUCUGACAGACAACUUGCUCUUUACUACAGGUUUUUUGUCACCAGGGAUAACCGUACCAUUGGCCAACCCCAAUGUUAGAAAAUAAGUUCCAACACCAGAAACAUGAGAGACACCCGGAAUUCAAGUAAAUUGUAGCAGACUGCAGAAUAAUUAAAGUGUAUCAACUAAUAAGGCUGAGUAAGACAAAAAUAUUGUGAAUUAAAGAAAGUUAUAAUUCAGUCAAGGGAAAUGUGUGUAAGCAAAGAAGAAACACUUGCUAGCUAUGACCACAUCCCCGAGAGAGGAGAAACAGGUGACCCUCUUCUCUUUAACCAGUUUACUUUUGACAGAUGUCAACUACAGAAGCCCCUACCAGUGAGCUGGUAGGAGAGAACUCGCUCCGAUGGCUCUUUCAGUUGGCUAUUACUACUAUAGGGUAAGGUUUCGAACAUUAAACCCAAAUAGGAAUGGCCAAACAGCAGGCAUUUUACCCAAAGCCUUUAUCAGGGUGCAGGAGAUCACCUAAUGGAGUUUCAACUUGAAAUGACAUUGGGGGAGGGAGUUCCACAGACUUAAAAGUUAGUUGGGUGCAAAGGAAGGGGGCAGAGGCUGGAGAAGGAAGGGAACCACAGGGGGUUGCCAUGUUCAAGGGAAUAAGAAUGAUGGAGAAGAGGCUGGCAGCAGAGGGACUGUGAUGGAUAGGGCGAGGAGGUCAGAGGCAGUAACCCAGCAGUGAAAGGGUUCAAUCCCACUUACAUGCAUAUACACUCCAUCAGCACAACUAACCAGAAUAAUAUUAACCCUUUAGAAAAUGCAGUUUUCCAAGGAUUCACUUCCCUACCUUAAUCUAAUGGACAUGAAAGAAUUAUCCAGGCAAGAGUCUGGAAUUUCAUUCCACUUAUGCCAAAAUACCCAAAUGAAAACAAUCCACAGGAGUUCAAUCCAGGGAAGCGAGUGUGUAGGGAACACACAGACCUUGACAGGAAGCUGCUCCUUCAAAGGCCUGUUGUGAGUGCCCGUUGUUACAACUUUUAGCUAUGCAUUCUGCUCAGUUUCCAGGUCUGAAUGAUGAAGUGAACCAUCUCCACAUCCACCGUUGGUAACUGCAUGCGCAGACACUGCUGAGCUCUGGUACUCUCUCAGAUGCUCUACAAGCAAUGUAUGACCUUACAGACCAUAUGAGCAGCAAUACCUAGCCAUAGGAACAGUGGCUGCUGUAAGAGGAUUCCUAAUAAGGGAAGUGACCUGCUACUUUUUGAAGUUAUUAUGCCAAUGCCUUUCAUUCCUUGUUCUUUUCUUUAACAUCCCAUCAUUUGCAGCUGGUCAAAUCACAAUAUAUUGCUCUCCUAGACUAAGCAAAGGAACAUGCUGGCAAACAGGACAUCACGCUAAAGUUGACAUCACUGCAGGAUUCCCAACCUCCGUUCAUGAGUUCAUUCAACAGAACGUUUGGGUGGCAGAUAUCCAACUAUUGGGGGGAGGGGAUGGGGGAGAAAAGUUAACAAUACAGAAGGAAAAACAUCAGGAGCAUGGAUAGUCUGAAAUUUAAGCACAGGCCUGUAGCCAAGAGGAGGCAUUGGGAGAGGUUUCCUUCCUACUGGGUCAAGCCAUAUUAACAGCAAUGAUCAGGUCAUACUGAAGUGACCCUGCUGGCUCAUCGCUGGAUACUUCCUCCCACCUCAGAUGAGAUGGUGGAAAUGGAACUAGCCACCAGAGGCCACUGUGUUAUCCAGUCCAACAUCCGCUAGCGCAGAGCUCCAAAUCCCUAGAGACCAGGAAAAAGGAAGUAUAAUCCUGAUGUCAGAAGCGAUCAGACUUGGGUGGGAAGCCCCAGCUUGUGCAAGAGCAGGAACAGCAGGCUGGAAGCAGUGGCAAAGCCAGACAGCCUGAGAGCUGGGAAUGAAAAGCUGAGACACACACAGGGAAGCAGCACGUUGCUGCUGGCUGAGGACACAGAGUAGCAACUUGCAAGUAAAUUCAUGGGAGUGGACAGCCUGGCUGGGCCCCAAUGAGAUAUGGACAGGAGGGCAGAACUCUGGCGGGGGAAUGGUAUUUAGUCCUGAGGGCCCAAUUACCUUUUAUAUUCUUCUGCUGGCCUAUCCUUAGGGCUUGAGUCUGUUGGGUUGAUCUUUUACAAAAACUGUUGACAUCACUGUCCUAAACUAUUAGCAUAUUUCUAAGGUUAAAAUAAUCAAGCUAAAUACAGUAAGAAAGGGCAGGGAGAGGGGGCAUAAGACUACUUUAAAAAAGUCCUGUCCAGGACAUCAUUAAGGGACUGGCAGGAAAUGCAUAGACUUGGCAGAGCCACGCUCUAUUUUCAUCCUAUUCUACACUGGACGCUCGCAUCUGCUUUUUACUGUCACUGACUUUCCACCUGGCACCCUAAGCUCAUGUGAUUCAGCUUGUGGGAACCCUUAUGUCUUUAUCUCAUGAGCAGUAUAGGACCUAACAAAGAUGAACAAAAAAUAUGAGUCAACUAUUGCUUUUGAAGCAACUAGGGUUUAAUACUAUCCGCUUCCCAUGGAAUUCUGAAUUGCUUUGAUCGCAAGCCAUGAUAGAAAAGAGUGAGCGACACACACGGCUGUAUUCACCAGAUCUCAGCUGUAGUAAUAAUGUGAAUUUUAGCGUAGCCUGCUGGUCUCUUUGCAUACGCUGCCUAAGGCAGAACAACUGCAUCAUUCACAAAAACAAGAGCAGAGCGACAGCAGUGAAGAGACAGACAAUGUACUUCAGGAGAGGAGUUAUUUGUUCUAAAACGGUCAUGUAGAGCCCAAACAAUCUUAAUAGGCAGGCACAGCCACCUAAAAAAGUGAAGACUUAUUCUGAACAAAAACAAGCUUCAAUACCUUUCUUCCUCUGUGCUGUACUCUUGUAAAAUGAUAAGAUACACUUUAUAUUUAGUGCAGGAAAUUCAUGCCUGUACAUGCCCUGGAGAAUAGCAGAAAUUAUGCCCUUGAUACAAAGAUGAGUUGUUUUUCUCAUGGCUCUAUCUAGUCAUAUGACAUAAUGAAUAGUCAUUAAAUGUACAUAGUUUCCAAUGUAGAGUGUAAGAGGAGACUUUUCCCCUCUUGCCCCUCCGACUCUGAAAUAUACCCGGGCUCUCUAAUCCAUCUACUUAUCCCCGUGCCACAAGAUUAGCACCGUUAGAACGCUGGCGGCCGAAUGCAGCCAGACAAGAUUGCCCAUUGCAACAGACUGAACAGCAGGAUUUGCAGGCCUGCAGCCUGCCUGCCUGCCAGGUCUAUUCUCCUCCCCUUUGUGAUAGAUGUCCAGCAAAUUACACAGUCAGAAGAAAUCCUGCACUGAGCCUCUAGCUGAGCAACUUCACGCAGUUCAGCAGCAGAUUAGGCAGACAGAAAAAACAGGGUUUGAGACAAAAGAAGAGAAGUGAAGAUUUAUAAUACAAGUAUGAGUACAUGGGAGGAGACAAACAAGGAAAGAUCUUGUCUUGCCAGACAGAGCACCUCCUGUCAGACAGAGCAUUUCACAGGCAGGGAUUCACUACAGGAUUCCACUGACUAAGGCCCCAGUCUACCCUAGAUACUUUUGCCUAUAGAACAGUGUCAGUUAGGACAGGGAUUUUGGGUUUUUUUGGAGUGCAUAACAUUUCCGUGCUGGCAAAGCACUGGUGUAGACGCAGUUAUCAUAGCAGUGCUUUCGCUAGUAAACCCAUUAUAAAAGUAUUGUUUAGCCUGUAUCAUCUGCAUCUACACUAGCAGGGUUUGCCAGUACCGGCAGACCCAGGUCUCGGCAGCCACCAUCCCAAUUCUAAUCACUCAAAUAAGGGAGGUUAUUUUCAACCACCAAUACUGUGCAGAGAUGUACAGCUCUUUACCCAUUCAUUGUCAAAGUGUUUGGUCACUACUGAUUUAAGGAACCUCUAAAAGUAGGGCCAAAAUUUAGUUUUGAUAUUUUAAGUUUAAAAGACAUAACAUUCUUCUCCAAGGCUGGAGAUGAGAAAGCAGCAGCACUGUGCUUGCAAAGCAGAAACAAGGAACAGCACAUUCCCAGUCACAGAGCGGGGGACGU